AGGCCUCAAACAUGCAAGUCUAGGGGGCGUAGCAAUACGUCACCGGCGGACGGGUGCGUAACACGUGGGAAUGUACCUUUUGGUUCGGAACAACGCAGGGAAACUUGCGCUAAUACCGAAUGUGCCCUUACGGGGAAAGAUUUAUCGCCAAAGGAUCAGCCCGCGUCCGAUUAGCUAGUUGGUGGGGUAAAAGCCCACCAAGGCGACGAUCGGUAGCUGUUCUGAGAGGAAGAUCAGCCACACUGGGACUGAGACACGGCCCAG
rnacentral:rRNA from 1 species